rnacentral:rRNA from 4 species
GACAUCAGGAGGUUAGUGCAAUGGCAUAAGCCAGCUUGACUGCGAGCGUGACGGCGCGAGCAGGUGCGAAAGCAGGUCAUAGUGAUCCGGUGGUUCUGAAUGGAAGGGCCAUCGCUCAACGGAUAAAAGGUACUCCGGGGAUAACAGGCUGAUACCGCCCAAGAGUUCAUAUCGACGGCGGUGUUUGGCACCUCGAUGUCGGCUCAUCACAUCCUGGGGCUGAAGUAGGUCCCAAGGGUAUGGCUGUUCGCCAUUUAAAGUGGUACGCGAGCUGGGUUUAGAACGUCGUGAGACAGUUCGGUCCCUAUCUGCCGUGGGCGCUGGAGAACUGAGGGGGGCUGCUCCUAGUACGAGAGGACCGGAGUGGACGCAUCACUGGUGUUCGGGUUGUCAUGCCAAUGGCACUGCCCGGUAGCUAAAUGCGGAAGAGAUAAGUGCUGAAAGCAUCUAAGCACGAAACUUGCCCCGAG